rnacentral:rRNA from 1 species
AGAGUUUGAUCCUGGCUCAGGAUGAACGCUAGCGGCAGGCCUAACACAUGCAAGUCGAGGGGCAGCAAAAAGAAUAGUAAUAUUUUUUGAUGGCGACCGGCGGACGGGUGCGUAACGCGUAUGCAACCUGCCUACAACAGGGGGAUAAUCUGGAGAAAUUCGGUCUAAUACCCCAUGAAAUAUUUAGAGGCAUCUUUAGAUAUUGAAAGAUUUAUCGGUUGUAGAUGGGCAUGCGUGAUAUUAGCUGGAUGGUGAGGUAACGGCUCACCAUGGCGACGAUAUCUAGGGGAACUGAGAGGUUAAUCCCCCACACUGGUACUGAGACACGGACCAGACUCCUACGGGAGGCAGCAGUGAGGAAUAUUGGUCAAUGGGAGGAAUCCUGAACCAGCCAUGCCGCGUGCAGGAAGACGGCUCUAAGAGUUGUAAACUGCUUUUGCAUAGGGAUAAAAGUAUCUACGCGUAGGUAUCUGCAGGUACUAUGCGAAUAAGGGUCGGCUAACUCCGUGCCAGCAGCCGCGGUAAUACGGAGGACCCGAGCGUUAUCCGGAUUCAUUGGGUUUAAAGGGUGCGUAGGUUGCACGGUAAGUUAGUGGUGAAAUUGGGAGGCUCAACCUCUUUAGUGCCAUUAAAACUGUCGGGCUAGAGAAUGGAUGCAGCAGGCGGAAUGUGUAGUGUAGCGGUGAAAUGCAUAGAUAUUACACAGAACACCGAUUGCGAAGGCAGCUUGCUAAACCAUAUCUGACACUGAUGCACGAAAGCGUGGGUAGCGAACAGGAUUAGAUACCCUGGUAGUCCACGCAGUAAACGAUGAUAACUCGUUGUAGGCGAUAUACAGUCUGUAACCAAGCGAAAGCGAUAAGUUAUCCACCUGGGGAGUACGACCGCAAGGUUGAAACUCAAAGGAAUUGACGGGGGCCCGCACAAGCGGAGGAACAUGUGGUUUAAUUCGAUGAUACGCGAGGA